GGAGGAAGGAAGCAUGGUAUGGCGCACAGAGAUCAAACUAAAAGGGUCAUCAUGUCUGCUCGCAUUGAUACCUUCGGGAUUUGAUCUCGCGGGCCUGGAUUCGACCCACAUUG